rnacentral:misc_RNA from 1 species
GCAAACUUGGUCAUUUAGAGGAAGUACAAGUCGUAACAAGGUUUCCGUAGGUGAACCUGCGGAAGGAUCAUUAACAAAUUCAAACACAACAAUACACACAUGUUUCCCACUGCAGGGGGGAGUGGAGGUUUCCUUCCCUCCUCUGUGGUGGUGUAUACAUCCUGUGAUGUGGUGUAUAUAUUAUCACAUCACACACACAUACACACUUUUGAUUGACAACACAUACCAAUUGAUACAAUAACGUUAAUUGUAGACAACUUUUAACAAUGGAUCUCUUGGCUCUUGCAUCGAUGAAGAACGCAGC